CCUGGUAACUUAGGCGGUGUGGGCUCUUAGGAUUGGAGCCAUCUGGUUUUUCCCUCAGAUACCUUAGUCUCGGGUGGUAUCCUGUGAUGAGGAAAUGAGUCCCCUCUCACCAUAUCUGGCUGGCGGCGGCCCAGAUGCCAUGUGAUGGUCAUUUGAAGACAGGCCUGCUGGACAUCAGGUCUCCCAAGGUCUAGACACUUGCCUUCAGGGACCUGGGCUUUCAGCUGUCCAUACCUGGCCCUGGUUGAUGGCCCCAUGCUGGGCAGUGCAUGUGA